UACGGAGGGUGCAAGCGUUGUCCGGAUUUAUUGGGUUUAAAGGGUGCGUAGGCGGUCUUUUAAGUCAGUGGUGAAAGCCUCCAGCUUAACUGGAGAAUUGCCAUUGAUACUGGAAGACUUGAGUACAGACGAGGUAGGCGGAAUUUAUGGUGUAGCGGUGAAAUGCAUAGAUAUCUGGAGGAACACCGGUGGCGAAGGCGGCAUCCUGGACCAAUACUGACGCUGAGGAGCGAAAGCCAGGGGAGCGAACAGG
rnacentral:rRNA from 1 species